ACUGACACUCGGAUUAAGAUA
rnacentral:miRNA from 1 species